rnacentral:rRNA from 1 species
UAAUAUUUAUGAUGUAUAAAUUCAAAGGAUUUGGCGGUAAAAUUAUUUUUUAGGGGAGUUUGUUUUUUAAUUCGAUAAUCCACGUUUAACCUUACUUUAAUUUAUGAUUUAUAUAUUUCCGUUAUUAGUUUAUCUUUAGAUAGUUUAAUUAACUAUUUAUUAUAUAUUAUAGUAUUAAAAUCAGGUAAAUAAGUAGUUUAUAUUAGAGGAUAAAAUGAACUACAAUUAAUUUAAUUAAGAUGAAUGGUAUUUUGAAAAUAUUUGUUUGAAAUUGAACUUAAAAGUAAAAUUUUAUUAGAAUGAUUUUUUGAAUAAGAUAAAAUUUUAUGU